GUUCAUCCUGCUGUUUGUGGCGAAGGUGCUCACAGGAAAGAUGCAGGAGCUCAGCGAUGUGAGGGAGUACGAGGAGGAGGGCGAGCCGAGGAAGGCGCCGUUUGUCAGCGAGCCGGACGCAAAUGGGAAGUAUAUGCAGAACGGUGCGGCGAAGGACAAGAAUCUCUGAGAGCAUCGCUAUCGCCUCCUGUUGCACUUAGCUGUAACUGCAAGAUGGCAGCUUGGUGGAAAUCAUUCGUAACAGGCACUAUUAGUAGCUGGAUUUGCAAAAAAAAAAUGUUAGGCUAUGAAACAUUUGCAUAAUUAUUUUACUUAAUUGUAUUUACUAGCACUGUGAAUGUGGUUUUAAGUAAAUUAUGCCCAUAGGGACUGAUAAGGGAUCAUAGUGACCAAAGGUGGAUAGUUCAAGUCCAGAAAGUAAUAAUCCGUACCAAGAUUUUGUUUCAAGCAACCAGUAUAAAGAGUCACAGUAACAGAGUACUCAGCUGGUUGGUUAGAACAAAAUCUUGGUCUGGAUUUUUGCUUUCUGGACCUGGACUGUACAGCUGUGAUAGUGACUGUCAUGGGGAUGACCUUAACUUGAUCCUGAAUCAGUAGUUAAGGGGAGUAUUAAGGGCUGUGUGGUAUUUCAGAUGGCUUUUUAUCUCAAGGAAGUUAUGUGGUCAUAGAGCGAUUCUGAGCCUUGGACUGACAGCCAGCAACAGUUAGACGGCCAUAAUGUCCAUCAGAGAGAAGCACAGACAGGCUGCACUGUCGGGGAGACAAUGGACAGAGCAGCGGCCAAGAGAAACAUAAGACCAUACCUUCUGUUAAAGGGAACUGUAAAGUCAGCGUACCAUUCACCAUGGCACGACAGGUAACUGGCAGACGAACAUGCCCUCUAAGUGAAUCAAGUAACAGCUGUGCCCUCCGUGAGAGAGACUUGCCAGCUGGCCCCGCCCUUUCCCAUGGCACCCAGAGAUCGUCUGGGUGUUUCUCAAUACCAAGAAUGCAAACGUCGUAUUUGGUCUUGGUCUUGGCAAGAGUGAUCUUACUAGCUUGCCUUCCAAGAAUGAACUUGGUGUGCAAUGAAUCAUGGGAUUGGUCUUGUCCUGAGAUUUUUACCAUCCUCUGUACUUCUGUUCUUAGUACUGGAACUGGUCUUCGACAGUGGAAGGUGACGUAAAACGCUUACGCGAGAACACAAGUACGGUUAGAUACACAUUUUGUGAAACAGCCUCUGUCUGCCGCUCUUAUUUGCCGGAGGGUGCACAUAGACAGGAAAUGAUGUCACAUCGACACACCUGUUUGGACAGGACUGGAUGCAUGUCAGACUGAAGUAGUUUGUUUUGAAGUUAUUCAUUGGAUUCAUUGUAUUUAAUUUUUAUUUGAUUAUCAGGUGUAUACGGAUUUAAAUGUCAUUUAACAGGUUUGUUAAUGGGAAGCAGAUGUUGGUAAUAAGGACUGAUCCAUGAUCAGUACAGCUGGGGAUUUUACAGGAAAAUCUGGCCUGGAUUUGCUUGUUUUAAUAGUAUUACUGAAGAUUGUGGAGAGUCAGGGAUAACCAUAAGCACUUAGAUAAAUUUAUAGGUACUGAGGUUUUAUAAACGUGUUUUACUGUUUUGGUUUUGUGCAAGAAUCUUCUAACUCAGUCCAGUGACUUAUUGUAGGAGUGAAGACUAUAUUCCAACCAGGGGCACACAGGUUUAAAUGAGGUGGGGGUCUGAUGUGUGUCAUGAUGAAAUCAGAAAUCAGCGUUAGAAGUAAAGAGGGGCAGGUCUCCUGCCCAGCUUCCACUUCUUCUUGGAUGUCCCCUCCAGACCAUCUAACCCAGAGCGUGGCAUCACGUCCGCAUCGUGGUUGGUUUGCGUUUCACGUUUGUUCACAUGCGGUUUGCCCAGGUAUGGUUUAGGUGUCUGUUGGACAUUGACUUGUGUUCUCUGCUUUCGUUGGUCUUGGAGUUUCCGGCUGGACGUGGCCGCAUGCCUUGCGCAUGGCACGUUUCCCGUGUCUAAGGUCUGCAAACUCCUCGGCCCAGUUCGACGUAAUUCCCAGUGUCCUGCACACAUGACGCUUUUUUUGGGGGCUGAUCCAUAUGGGGUGACUGUGCCAAGCUCAGAAAGCCCACAUUUCAGGGUCGUCUACCGAAGGGUAAAUCGUAUUUUCUAACAGUGUUAUAUUUCAGUAUCAGGCUUGUGCCAAAACCCAUUUUCCCCCAUAAUGCACUGGGAGAGCAGAUCUGAAUAGAAUAGUAGGGUGUUUUCCUACAGGGAGCUGGAUCAUCUACCCUCAACCUUUCUACCCUCCUUGUUUGGUGAAAAUUACCAGGUACUAAAAUAUUUUUUGUAAUAAAACGAUUUUAACAUGCA